rnacentral:rRNA from 1 species
UUGACACUGAACACUGGUCCUUGAUGUGUAGGAUAGGUGGGAGGCUUUGAAGCGUGGACGCCAGUCUGCGUGGAGCCAUCCUUGAAAUACCACCCUUUAAUGGCUGGUGUUCUAACGUGGACCCGUAAUCCGGGUUGCGGACAGUGUCUGGUGGGUAGUUUGACUGGGGCGGUCUCCUCCCAAAGAGUAACGGAGGAGCACGAAGGUUAGCUAAUCCUGGUCGGACAUCAGGAGGUUAGUGCAAUGGCAUAAGCUAGCUUGACUGCGAGAGUGACGGCUCGAGCAGGUGCGAAAGCAGGUCAUAGUGAUCCGGUGGUUCUGAAUGGAAGGGCCAUCGCUCAACGGAUAAAAGGUACUCCGGGGAUAACAGGCUGAUACCGCCCAAGAGUUCAUAUCGACGGCGGUGUUUGGCACCUCGAUGUCGGCUCAUCACAUCCUGGGGCUGAAGUAGGUCCCAAGGGUAUGGCUGUUCGCCAUUUAAAGUGGUACGCGAGCUGGGUUUAGAACGUCGUGAGACAGUUCGGUCCCUAUCUGCCGUGGGCGCUGGAGAAUUGAGGGGGGCUGCUCCUAGUACGAGAGGACCGGAGUGGACGCAUCACUGGUGUUCGGGUUGUCAUGCCAAUGGCACUGCCCGGUAGCUAAAUGCGGAAGAGAUAAGUGCUGAAAGCAUCUAAGCACGAAACUUGCCCCGAGAUGAGUUCUCCCUGAGACUUUAAGUCUCCUGAAGGAACGUUGAAGACGACGACGUUGAUAGGUCGGGUGUGUAAGCGCAGCGAUGCGUUGAGCUAACCGAUACUAAUGAACCGUGAGGCUUAACCUUACAACGCCGAAG